CCCUACGGGGGGCAGCAGUGAGGAAUAUUGGUCAAUGGUCGGGAGACUGAACCAGCCAAGCCGCGUGAGGGAUGAAGGUACAGAGUAUCGUAAACCUCUUUUGUCAGGGAACAAAGGCGGGGACGUGUCCCCGGAUGAGUGUACCUGAAGAAAAAGCAUCGGCUAACUCCGUGCCAGCAGCCGCGGUAAUACGGAGGAUGCGAGCGUUAUCCGGAUUUAUUGGGUUUAAAGGGUGCGCAGGCGGUCUGUUAAGUCAGCGGUCAAAGCCCGGGGCUCAACCCCAGCCCGCCGGUGAAACUGGCCGU
rnacentral:rRNA from 1 species